GGCGGAGGUACCCAAGUG
rnacentral:tRNA from 1 species